UUUGCAAAUUUACUUUCCACCUCAAAAAAUGCAGAAUAAUCAUGUGAAAUCAAAAAUAUUACGCAAUAUAGCAUUUCUAAUAUAUUGUAAGCGUUUUCACGAUCACAUACAUUUGAUUUUUAAAAUUUUAAAGCUAUAGAGAAAUUCCUCUUCUCGAGGCUUUCGAUUUGAUAUAUUAUUUAUCAAAAUUUAAAAAAUUAACAAUAGUGAAAAAGGCAUUUCACUAUUACUUAUUAGGACUACAUGGAGUAAUAAUGAUUAAUUGUUUAAAAAUAAAAGCAAAACCGUUGUUGUCGGUGGAAUGGAUUUUGGGAUGAAAGGUUAUAAAGGUUACUGCAAUUGUCAUGUGGAGCUAUGUGACUUCUACUCUAUCAAAGGCAUGUUAAUGAUAGCUUGUAAAACAGAGAAAAUGACGAAAAUAGCGGUUACCGCAAUUGUCAUGUGGAGCUAUGUGACUUCUACUCGAUUAAUAUGGACUAUUGUUGAGUAAUGUAUGUUUUGUUACUAAAGCUACGGUAAAGAGAUUCAAGAAACUAAGCAGAAGAAUCGGAAGUUAAUUACAAUCUAAAGGAGUAGUGAAUUAAGUGCUUUUUGCUUUUGCUUAAAUCCUGGAGAAUCUAGAGUGAAUAGGUUUAUAAAAGUGUUGUCCUAUAGCAUGUAAGAAAAAUGACUUGUAGGUGUCAUAGAGCUAUGUUAUGCUUUUGUGUUGUGUUUUUGUUAUAAACGUGGAUAAGAGAAAUGAGUGAUGUAUGUUUUUAUGCUCUACUAAUGAAUAAUGUUAAGAAAAGAAUUCUCUCUUUCAAUUCUAGGUUAUAGAAAUAACAAAACUCAAAAUCACAACAACUAUAAAUACAAAGAAGAUACAAAAC
rnacentral:sRNA from 1 species